UACAGAGGGGGCAAGCGUUGUUCGGAAUUACUGGGCGUAAAGGGCGCGUAGGUGGCCUUCUAAGUUGAACGUGAAAUCCCUGGGCUCAACCCAGGAACUGCGUCCAAGACUGGGAGGCUUGAAUCCGGGAGAGGGAUGCGGAAUUCCAGGUGUAGCGGUGAAAUGCGUAGAUAUCAAGUGGAACACCAGUGGCGAAGGCGAGUCUCUGGACAUUUCCUGACGCUGAGGCACGAAAGCCAGGGGAGCAAACGGG
rnacentral:rRNA from 1 species